CCUACGGGAGGCAGCAGUGGGGAAUCUUGCGCAAUGGGCGAAAGCCUGACGCAGCCAUGCCGCGUGAAUGAUGAAGGUCUUAGGAUUGUAAAAUUCUUUCACCGAGGACGAUAAUGACGGUACUCGGAGAAGAAGCCCCGGCUAACUUCGUGCCAGCAGCCGCGGUAAUACGAAGGGGGCUAGCGUUGCUCGGAAUUACUGGGCGUAAAGGGAGCGUAGGCGGAUAGUUUAGUCAGAGGUGAAAGCCCAGGGCUCAACCUUGGAAUUGCCUUUGAUACUGGCUAUCUUGAGUACGGAAGAGGUAUGUGGAACUCCGAGUGUAGAGGUGAAAUUCGUAGAUAUUCGGAAGAACACCAGUGGCGAAGGCGACAUACUGGUCCGUUAACUGACGCUGAGGCUCGAAAGCGUGGGGAGCAAACAGGAUUAGAUACCCUGGUAGUCCACGCUGUAAACGAUGAGUGCUAGUUGUCGGCGAUGCAUGCAUGUUCGGUGGACGCGAGCUAACGCAUUAAGACACCUCCGCCGUCGGGGUAGGUACGGUCGCGAAGAAGUUAAACGUACAAGAGUAGUAGACGNGNGACGUGACCGACGGACGACGACGAGGGAGGAGG
rnacentral:rRNA from 1 species